rnacentral:lncRNA from 1 species
UUGUAUAUAGAAGAACUAUAGUACAAAUCCUUGGUAUUUCUAUUUUCUUUGCUACAUCAGUAAAAUGACCCCUUGUCUGAGGGAGGGUUGUUCUCAACCUGAUAAUAACAAACACAGGUCAAAGUACGGCCUUUUACACAGGGCUUUGAUACAGACCAAACAGCAAGCUAUAAAGGACCCCAAAAUUAUAAGCGUACACAAUUCGAACAGGAAAACAAACGAUCUAAUUUAUAUAUCCAAACGGGAAAAUACCAAUGAACAACAUCAACAAACGAUAACUGCUGAACGACAGGCCCC